rnacentral:rRNA from 1 species
GAUGAACGCUAGCGACAGGCUUAACACAUGCAAGUCGAGGGGCAGCGGAAUUGUAGCAAUACAAUUGCCGGCGACCGGCGCACGGGUGAGUAACGCGUAUGCAACCUGCCUAUCAGAGGGGGAUAGCCCAUCGAAAGAUGGAUUAAUACCGCAUAAAACAGGGAUCCCGCAUGGGAAUAUUUGUUAAAGAUUAAUUGCUGAUAGAUGGGCAUGCGUUCCAUUAGUUAGUUGGUAAGGUAACGGCUUACCAAGACAUCGAUGGAUAGGGGUUCUGAGAGGAAGGUCCCCCACACUGGUACUGAGACACGGACCAGACUCCUACGGGAGGCAGCAGUGAGGAAUAUUGGUCAAUGGGCGAGAGCCUGAACCAGCCAAGUCGCGUGAAGGAUGACUGCCCUAUGGGUUGUAAACUUCUUUUAUAGGGGAAUAAAAAGGAGCACGUGUGCUCUAUUGUAUGUACCCUAUGAAUAAGCAUCGGCUAACUCCGUGCCAGCCGCCGCCGUAACAC